GCACUCUCCUAUCUACUAAACAGCAACUUCAAUAAAAUCUGUCAACAUUGAAGUUGCUGUUUAGUAGAUAGGAGAGUGU